UGAGGAAUAUUGCACAAUGGGCGCAAGCCUGAUGCAGCGACGCCGCGUGGGUGAAGAAGGUUUUCGGAUCGUAAAGCCCUUUUCUGUGUGACGUAGACAAGGACGGUAGCACAGGAAUAAGUGUCGGCUAACUACGUGCCAGCAGCCGCGGUAAAACGUAGGACACAAGCGUUAUCCGGAGUUACUGGGCGUAAAGGGCGUGCAGGCGGUUUCUUAAGUCAGGCGUGAACCAUUCGGCUAAACCGGGUGUAGUCGUCUGAGACUGGGAGACUUGAGUGUGGUAGAGGCGUGUAGAAUUCCGGGUGUAGUGGUGAAAUGCGUAGAUAUCCGGAGGAAUACCAGUGGCGAAGGCGGCACGCUGGGCCAUAACUGACGCUAAGACGCGAAAGCAUGGGUAGCGAACGGGAUUAGAAACCCCGGUAGUCCAUGCCGUAAACGAUGUACACUGGGUGUUCAGAC
rnacentral:rRNA from 1 species